CAGCUGCAGGGCGAAGGUUUUGUUGUCUACCAGCAGGUUCUUGACUCGAAAAUCCACUCCUAGGGCACACAGAAGAGACCACCCAGGACAACCAGCUCCAGAUGCCCCAGCCGUCACAGGAAUCUUUGUAAAGGGAUGAGACAAACAGAAGGUGCCGAAGAUAUGGGGAUGCUCAGAGAUGCUCAGCAGACACACAGCAGCUUAGGUGAUCAAUAACUGUGACCUUGCAGACGGCAGGCUAUGUCUGCUAUGGGUCACUCUUUUUCAAGGACACUGAGUCUUUAACUAGAUCCAUGGCAUCCUGGUCAGUUUUGACUGUCAACUUGAACAGGCUGGAGUCACCUGGGAAGAAGGAGCCCCAACCAAAGAACUGCUUCCAUCAGACCGGCCAUGGUUCCUGCCUUGAAUUCCUUCUCUGCCUUCCUUUAGAGAUGGACUGUUACCUGAAGUACAAAGCUGAAAUAAACCCUUUGCUCCUCUGAGUUGCUCCUGAUCAUGGAAUGAUCUCAUAAAUAGAGGUCAAACUAGG
rnacentral:lncRNA from 1 species